AUGAAGGAUUUGGGUCAAACCAAAUUUUGCUUGGGUCUCCAACUCGAGCACCUUCCCUCAGGAAUAAUGGUACACCAAGUUGCCUAUAUCCAGAAGAUAUUGGAGAAAUUCAAUAUGGAAAAAUCCUACCCAUCUAAAGCUCCCAUGGUGGUUCGAUCUCUAGAUGUAGGGAAAGAUCCAUUCAGUCCAAGGGAUGAUGGAGAAGAGAUGUUGGGACCCGAGGUUCCAUAUCUUAGUGCCAUUGGAGCGCUUUUGUAUCUUGCAAAUUGUACGAGACCUGACCUCGCAUUUGCAGUGAAUCUACUUGCUAGACACGGCACAGCUCCUACCAAACGCCAUUGA
rnacentral:rRNA from 1 species